rnacentral:misc_RNA from 1 species
GAUGAAGAACGUAGCGAAAUGCGAUAAGUAAUGUGAAUUGCAGAAUUCCGUGAAUCAUCGAAUCUUUGAACGCACAUUGCGCCCGCCAGUAUUCUGGCGGGCAUGCCUGUCCGAGCGUCAUUUCAACCAUCAAGCCCCGGGCUUGUGUUGGGGACCUGCGUCCGACGCAGGCCCUGAAAACCAGUGGCGGGCUCGCUGUCCACACCGAGCGUAGUAACUAACCUCGCUAUGGAGUGGCGCGGGCGCCUGCCGUAAAACCCCCAAUUUCACAAGGUUGACCUCGGAUCAGGUAGGAAUACCCGCUGAACUUAAGCAUAUCAAUAAGCGGAGGA